UGUUACAACAGACCAACAAGGGGAGAUUAGAUGGUUUUUUAAAGACACUCUCAUUGCUGAAAUUAUUGAACAUCUCAGUUACAACUGUACAGAUGUUCAGUGUAAUGAAGGAACUGGGAGAUUCAGAGACAAACUGAAGCUGGAUCAUCAGACUGGAUCUCUGACCAUCAUAAACAUUGAAGACUCAGACUCUGGAGAAUAUCAAAUAAAGUUUAACAGCAGCAGCGACAGUGAAAAUAUCUUCAAGGUUAUUGUCUGGGGUAUUUCUGCUAGAAAAGAAAUGAAGAUCACAGAGGGAGGAUCUGUCUUUUUAGAAGCUGGAAUAAUGACACAAAAUGAUAUGGUAACUUGGUAUUUUUAUGACACUCAAAUCGCUCGAGUCACUGGAGAUCUCAGUUUGAUUGGUACAGAUGUUCAGUGGAAAGAUAAUAAUAAGAGAUACAGAGAGAGGCUGAAGCUGAGUUAUCAGUUUACAUGGUCUCUGACCAUCACAAAUGUCAGUACCACAGACUCUGGACUUUAUACACUAAAGAUCAUCAAGAGCAAUUUCACCAUCAUGAGGAGCGUCACUGUUACUGUCACUGCUCCAAGUCUGAUACCUGCUGCUUUUCUCACUGCUGUUCUGGUGGUGGUUGUUUGUUCCUGUUGCAUGCAAUAGCAUGCCAGAAUGAUGUCAGGACGCAGCACGAUGACUGGGUGAGAUAUGUGAGAUGAAUCUGUCUCAGAUCUCUGACAUCUGAUUACAUUUUUGGAAUACCCCUCAAUAAAUACUGCAUUUGGAUCCUCAGUACAUCAGUCUCCUUGCAGUACAUGACAGAUAGCCUUCAUGUUGCCCCCGAUACUUGUUUGUUCGUCUUGAGCCAAGGAUUACAACAAUAUAAGACACUUGAGUCUGUGACUAACAGGAGUUAUGAUCAUUGCAGCGCCAACAGUUAUAGGCAGGUGUGUGUGGAGGCUUACUCAUUUGUGAUUAAUAAUCCAAUUACAUAUUACAUUUUGCAUGGCACCUAACUUAUUCUGCAGCAGUUUGUUUCUGCUGAAGAAGUGAUAUCUAAGGUCACUGAAGAUACAAUAUCUUGUGUGUUUUGCCUUUACUCCCCCAAACCUGUCAACAAGGCUGCUCGACAUGAAUGUGAGUGUUUUAGCAGCAAGUAGCUGAAUCGCAGGUGUUUGAUUUUUUGAGAUAAGGACCUGCAGCAGGUGAUGAGGCCGAAACCAGCACAUUCAAAUAGGCUUUGACUGUUUCAUUUUACUUAUGCUAUAUUGACAAGACAUUUUUAUAGGAUAUUGAUUUACUUAUGGCCUUUUACUUAUGGAUUUGAGAGUUUGUAGACAUUUAAGAGGCUGUUGUGUCAAACUUUAAUUUUUUUUUCUUCCAAAUUUGAGGUGUUUCAUUUUAUUAUGACUUUGGAGAACAUUAUUGCUCUCCUCACAAAUCAACUGUUUCUUGCAUUUCACUGGCAUGUAUAUAAAUCUAUAACCCCACCUAAGAAGCGAUAGAAGGGAUUUUAUGAUUGAUUUGAUGAUAAAUGAAUGAUUGAUGGUUCGUUCAGAUCAAGUCUUAUGAAGUACAUAUAUUGUUAGAAACUUGGAAUUUCAUCAUUUCACUCUCUUAAAACACAUUCUUUCAUCACUUUCAUCCCUUUCUUUCUGCA